rnacentral:lncRNA from 1 species
UCACGGAAGACGCGGUCCCCGUCCCGCACCUGAAACUCCACGAAGACGGUGUCUGAUGGGCGAAUCCGGCUGGGAUUUUAUUUAUUUUUUUAGGGGUGGAGAAGGAUCCCCUUUUUUUGCCCUUUGGAAAAGAGGAGCAAGAUCGAAAUUAAAGGAGAAGGCGGAUUCCUUUCUCUGCUUUUCUCCGUUCCUAGGCUGAUCCUCGAUGCAUUGCGAUUUCUAUUUAAAAACAACAACAACAACCUGCUUUGAGCGCGCGUUUUCUGUGUGCCUGGAAACCGUGGGGGAGAUGCCGAUCCGGUCUUUUACAUGGUCGUUCUGCUUCAGAGCCAGCCAUGCAUUUUAUUUUUGCCUCUGUUUGCUUCACCUUUCCUUUGAUCUUAAAAUUUGCAUAUAUAUAUAUAUUAUUUUUUUUAAAUAAAAGCUUAUUUUUGCUUUGGCAGUGCACUCGAUUUUCCACAUUCCUUGGAGUAAUGGGGCGAACCUAAGCAGGUCGACUUGGAAAUAAGUUAGAUAUUGUGGGUGGCAAUAUCUAACUUGAGAAAAUGCACUCCUAAUACCUGACUACUUGGAAGUAAAUGGCAUUUAGUCAAUGGCAUUUACUUGCAGGAAAGGCAAGCUGGGACUGUAGUGGUAAGAGAUCGGAGCCUGCUCCCCCACCCUGGGGUUGGGGUAGAAGAGACAAGAGAGAAGCAAGUUAUUUUUAAAUAGAUUUUUUUUUUUCCACCACUGCCAUGUUCCUAAACAGAAAGCUUGUUUCUAAAUUCCACGUCUGUGUUACGUUUUAACACUCAGGCACAGUGUUUAAUACAUCGGUAUUAAAAGGGAAAAAAAAUGGCAAAAGUCAGCUCUAGUUUCAAUAUGAGCAAACCCAGUGAGUUUGUGCCUCUGUUGCUCAAACAGAACCACACGGCCACCUCUGCAAGUGUGUGGUAUUUAUAUGUGUCUGUGUAAGAAUAAACAUGCACAUAUAGGGAGAGAGGAAAGAGAA